CAAGUCGAGCGGAUGAGAAGAGCUUGCUCUUCGAUUCAGCGGCGGACGGGUGAGUAAUGCCUAGGAAUCUGCCUGGUAGUGGGGGACAACGUUUCGAAAGGAACGCUAAUACCGCAUACGUCCUACGGGAGAAAGCAGGGGACCUUCGGGCCUUGCGCUAUCAGAUGAGCCUAGGUCGGAUUAGCUAGUUGGUGAGGUAAUGGCUCACCAAGGCGACGAUCCGUAACUGGUCUGAGAGGAUGAUCAGUCACACUGGAACUGAGACACGGUCCAGACUCCUACGGGAGGCAGCAGUGGGGAAUAUUGGACAAUGGGCGAAAGCCUGAUCCAGCCAUGCCGCGUGUGUGAAGAAGGUCUUCGGAUUGUAAAGCACUUUAAGUUGGGAGGAAGGGCAUUAACCUAAUACGUUGGUGUCUUGACGUUACCGACAGAAUAAGCACCGGCUAACUCUGUGCCAGCAGCCGCGGU
rnacentral:rRNA from 1 species